CGUCGCUCGUUAAACUAUGUUCCUUUCAGCUGGAGGAAACGGACGGGUCCCACACGUGGUACAUCGACUAAGACCUCAACGGGUACGAAAAGCGAUGUCAUUACGUUACGGAAUCUUUUUUUUUUUUUUUGACACCCAACACGCCCAACCGUGAGAUCAGACGGCUAUAAAUCCUUCGGGUUCUCUCGAAAUUGUGCCGUCGUUUCAUCGUUUCUGUCACGCUAUGUUCUGAAAAGAUGUGAAGAUAUGACAUAUAUAUAUAUAUAUAUAUAUAUAUAUGAUUAUUAGAAAUAUUUUUAAGAUAAAAAUAUAAAACUCUUAAAAUGUGAAGAAAUUUCGUGGACGACGAAAUUAGUGAUACUAUGGAUACGAGAGAUUAAAAAAUAAUUAUCUUUUUAUUACGUUAUAGAUGAGUUUUUAUAUUUCAACAUAACGGAAUGAAAUAUUUUAUAAAAUAUUCUAUAGGAAGAUAAUCUCGAAUCGUAUCAAAUAAUCUUCGAUUGAUCUUUAUCCAUACAAGCGACAAGGGGAGACAACAUACAAUCGCAUAUAUUGGACCCUUGACCAUGUGGGCAGAUACGUAAAAGGUGACAUUUGUCUUCUCUUUCUAACUUAAGUGCUACACAUAGGCUACUUAUCAUAUGAUGAUUAACUGACGAUAUUCUUUUUAUUAUUUAUCCCCCUCGAAAGGUAUGCUUUAGGGGGCUCUUGUAAAAGAGUUAUAAAGUACGACGUUUAGUUUAUUUGAUAUGUUAAGCUUAUGCCUCUUCGAUUGAUUCUAGACUUCACACAUCAAGCAAACGCCUGAGGUUGAGGAUGCCCAACUCGCACCUUGCAUCAAUGACCUUUGUCCCUAGGCAAAGGGUUGUUCCUCAUUGAUAGGCCCUUAUCGGGAACGAGGGAGUUGGGAUGCCCAACCUCCAUGCCUCAACAACGAGGGGCAGGGGGUUGAGGCACCUAACCUCUAUGUCUUGGUGAGAGAUCACUCCUCAUUGAUGGGCCCUCUUCAGAAGUAGAUCAAUUAUUAUCGAUGUGAAUCCGACCCUUCUCCACGCCUUGGCAACAAAGGGGGUGAGUUUCUCGACCUCCAUGUGUCGUUAGCAAUGAAAAGAGAAAGUUGAAUGUCUGACCUCCCUACCUUGGAUGAAAGAGGGGGGUUGGGUUUCUCAACCUCCAUAAUGACAAAAGGAAGAGUUGGGUGCCCGAGCUCCCUACCUCGGGCAGAGGAAGGGGGUUAGGUUUCUUGACUUCCUUAGCUUGGUGGUGGCGUGAGCUACAAUGAGGCUUGGGUGCCAAACCUCUCUACCUUGGGCAGAAGAAGAGAGAUCAGUUUCUUGACCUUUGUGUCUCUUUCUCCUUAAAAGAUAUCUCCAAGUUACCCUCCAUUCUCAAGCACUUUUCAAUAGUAGCUUAAGCAUAAUCCUUAUAACCCAAAAAGUUAUCUCCCCUCGAGGUAGGUCUACCAAUGAUAACAUCAAUUUGCCUUUCCAUUAGCCCUUGAGAUCGAGGUGAGAGUUCUUAGUUCUUUCGAAUGAAUCACUUGGGAUGUCCAUAACAUAUGAGCUCUUCAAUCUAUUCUUUCAAGUCAAGGCAAUCCUCUGUGUUGUUAUCGUAAUUCCGGUGGAACUAGUAGUAUUUGAACAUGCCUCUUUUCACCGAUGAGGUCUUCAUCGGAUAAUGAUCUUUUAAGAGCUCCUUCUCCUUUAUCUAUAAAAAACUUUAGUUUUAGUUAUAUUAAGGGAGGGACAGCUUAAACCUUAGACAAGGUAACUCAAGUCAUUCAUUUUUUCUUUACUUAGUGACCUCAGGUUGGGGGUUGAUUGUGGUUGCUCAUACUUCGGCAUCUUGCAUGACUCCUCACACUUGUCGAAGAUUAUUACCUUAAUGGUAAUGUAUUGAUUGACCCUUUAGAGUACCUCAAGUAUAGUCAUAAGUAAUCUCUCUAUCAACGUCCAUAAAAGACAAAGGGCUUAAGCCCCAUCAUGAAGGUCUAUAUUAUGAGUAAUAUAUAGACAUCUAUCACACCUGGGAUCUCAUUCGUGAAUUGAGUGACAAAGUUUGUGAGUAUUUCCUUCUUCCCCUGCUUGAGUCUUAGGAGUGUUACCACUGAAUACCAUGGGUAUAUGUUCUAAAGAGAGUCAAGUUCAAACUCCCUCACAAGUUGGGCAAAAAAACUGAUGAAAAGUGACUUCAAAAAGGUGUACCAUUCUCGUAUUAGGCCUCUUAUUAUGGUCGGAAAAGUGUGACAUACUAGAGUGUCUGAAGUGUCAUACAGCAACAUUUGGGUGCAAAAAGCUACAAUAUGCUUUAUCAGGUUGGCAUUACUAUCGAAUGCCUCUAAGGAAGGGAGAUGAAAGUUCGCUGGAAUUGAUUCCUCUUGGAUUUUUUAGAUGAACAACAAUCGAUCUACGGUGGGGUCAACCAACUUCCUCCUUUGACUGUUGGAACUUUCAUCGCAUCUCCUCCAAAUAUCAAUCCAUCUAUUGCAGUUGGAUCCGUAGGGAAUCCUUUAUUAUCUUCACUAACUAGGCCUCAAAUUUAGGCAAGAUAGAGUAGUGGUGUAGUCCGUUGAAUUUCAUAAUUAGGGACCGAAAUGCCCUCUUGACCAAUGGUUCGAUAAGUCUUGUAUGCUCUUGGGAUGUUAACACCACAUCAGAUUAGGGAACCUCGAUGAGUGUCACUGUCAAUGGCAGUUAAGCCAAAGAUCACGGUUGAGCUAGUGGCACUGUCUAUUGAGCUAAUUAGGGAAAGAGCGGAGUGACAACCUAUAUCAUGCUUAUUAGUGUCUACAAUCGCUAAAUAAGAUUUAAAAAUAUCUUGACGGGGAUAAAUAGGUGGCUUAGUAUCAUCCCUAAGGAUGAGAUACUUGAGUUAUUGAAUAAACAUCAAUAUCACAUCAGUGUUCACAAUGAGGUGAAUGCAUCUAUGUGCAAAAAUGGUGGCUAUUAUCCACUUUGAGUGAAAGUAUUGUAUGUCCAAAAUAAAAUCUCUUCGCUCGAGCAUUCAUUGAGAGGGUCAAUGAUAGGGUGUUCUUACUACAUUGGGCUCUCCUUCUAGUAUAAAAAAUAUUACAAAAAGAUGUUAUUGACGUCCUAGUUAGCUCGACAUGGUUUGGACUCGUGUGUGUAGGGUUAUUUGAGGUAAAAAUAUCAAGUUCUUAAGAUAUCACCUGUACGAAGACUAAGGUCACGAGAGGUUUUUCGAUUUGGUCUCUCUAACGCCUAAGUUAGUAACCCGAUAUUAAUAAGUAUAGAUACAAGUGGUCAUGUUAGAGAUGAGCUUUUAUACUUAGUUAUAAAGAAGUAAAAUAUUAUAUAAAAUAUUCAAUAGGGAGAUAACAUUUAACCAUCUCAAAUAACUUCCUUUUGGUCUUUUAUCCAUGCGGGCGACAAGAAGGGAUAGUUUACAAUUGUUUACCUUGAACCUUUAUCUACCUGAACAAACAAGUGGAUGAUGGCCUUUAUCUUUUUUUUUACCUUAGGUGUUAUAUAGGGAUCAUGUAUCAAAUAAUAAUUAAUGAUGACUAACGAUAUUCUUCCUAUUAUCGUACUAUACUAAAUAUGUACAAUGUACUCAUAUAUAAUAAAAGUCAUUUUACAUUUAACGAGGGAAUAAUAUUUGAUUCGAAUCACAUAUGACAUUUGUUCUCGUUAGUAUCUCUAGAUUAUCAUGUGCUCUAUAUUAGACAAGGUUAAGUUCACCCCACAUGAUCUAUGUCGAAAAUAAUACUAUAAUUAGUAUGCUUAAUUAUAAAGGGAAUACGACAUUUGUUGUCAUUAGUAUCUUCAAUACGAAUGUGUUAAGAUAUUUUUAGAAAAUAAUAAUGUUAUUCAAACUUGAAUAAUAUUUUUAGAAAAUAAUAAAGGGAAAAAAAUUGGGGAAACAAUGUGGUCAUUGAAUCACUGGUCAGAUCGUAUGCUUAAUUAAAAAUAUUUUAAAAUAUAUAAAAAUAAUUAAAAAUAGAAAUAAAAAAAUAUAAAAUAUUAAAAUUAUAAAAAUGAAUAAUAUUAGAUGAAUGAAAAUAAAACUAUCAUCAUACUGAAUAUGAUAAAAAAAAAUUACAUCAACCAAUAUUAUAAAAAAGAACUUUAUCUAUAUUAAAUAAUACAUGACGAUAUUUAAAAAGUUAAAAAGCGAAUAUCCAAUUCACUUAUGUAGACUUAAGUAAAAUAAAGUAUAUAAUUAUUGGUAUAUAAGAUACGAAAAGUUGUAUAAGAGAGGCUACACGAGGAAGGAGGUGAAGAGAACGAGAAAUGAAAGGUGGAAGGUGAACAAUGGCGGAAGGAGACAGGUGGCUAGCGAUUGAAUAAAAAAAAUUAUUUUUCCCAUCUUAAUCUAAUUUAGAAUGAACAUAAAUAUUCUCUGAAAUAAAUAAUAAAAAAUAUUUUAAUUAAGAAAAUAUCUCGAUUUUUCAGGUCCAAUCAUAUAUAUUCUUCAAGUAAUUUGACUUUGUACUCUUCAAGGAGCUUAUUAUUCUUCCUUUGGGGAGUUGACACGCUCGCUCCUCGGGGGAAUUGACACACUUAAUGUACAUAGGUCCAAACCAUGUGGCCCAAACAAUUGGUUCAGCCCAUCCAUGAACUUGGCCUUCUAUAGUCUUGUAUAUAUCCUCUCUGUCCAUGAUCUGAAACAAAGGCCAGGCUUCAAUGGUCUCGACAUUGGUUGAGGACCUGCACGAUCGGUGGAUAUCAAUAGUUCAUCAUCAUUCCCUUCUAUUACCUGCAGUUGCCAUUUCAGUUCAUGUUGGACUAUCCGAGCUCUACAAGCUAAGUCACAACCAAAUGAUGCGUUGCCUAACGAUAAGACUUGUAUAUUUGAUCUAAAUUAGUACCGUGUCAAAUGGUUAUUAGAUGUCACAUUUGAGCGGAAGGUAGGGGACAAUGCAUCUGCAUAUUGAGGAUGUUCUACUCGAGCUGAUGAUGAGAUGAGACAAGAUUUAUGCCAACUGUUUGUUCCGUGAUCACUACUGUCCAUGUUUGUUUCCAUGAGCACAUGAUGAUCUGUGACUGCCAUUACUGUGCCUCACAGCUUGCUGCUUUUGGGUACCUGAUGAUGAGGUAGAUAACGGUAGAAUUUGUCCAUCCAGUAAAUUAAGCUACGCGAGUAGCUGCAGAUUCGUCGUCUAAUUUUUCUGCAGCAAAUCACUGUUCCCAACUCACAGUAAUGUGUCGUGGUAGGCCUCACUGGCAAGGUUCUUCGGUCACGGGUGAUGGAUUUCCCCGGAAGAGGUCAUGGCAGAAGGGUUAAAGUGGACAAGUCCGUAGUAGACAAGGCAUGGAGGCUAGGAAAAGUGGCAACUCAUUGAGAUUCCACCACCCCAUGAAGCUCCCAUCUCAGCGAUUCAUCACAACCACUGGCUUCACAACGCCAGUUGUCUUCCCUUGUUCCAGUGGAGAUGGAGGAUACGUUGGUCGUCAAUUAGCAUGAACGAUUGUGAAUGCUUUGAUGUCCUUUGGCACUCUGACAGCAAGCUGGAAUUUCAUUCUGCGUCAUCUUUUUGUCACGUCGCCCGGUGGCAUGCAGAGGAUUGAUAGAUUAUGGGUGCCACUGUCACUCAGUGUCGGAGGACGAGUGAGUGCGGAGUCGGUCACAGUAGCAUGUGCUGAAGCCCAAAGAAAGCCGUGGACUUGGGGAAGGCAAUGCGUCGGUGUCGUCUCCGUCUCGGUGGAUGCAUGGAGCAAAAGGACGCAGGGCUUUCGCUUUCUGCACAAGGUUGAGGAGAACAAUGUGGUAAAAUGGUACGGCAAGUGUUCGAGACUAUGUGGCAGAGGACGUGUUGUCAUGGUAGAUAUCGGCAGAUCUCGAGUGCGGGCAGAGUUAACACGGCCAUUCCUACGACCUCAUUGUGCUAUCUAAUCGUCGGAUAAGGGAGGAGAAGAUUCUUGACGGAUUGAUGUACAGGUUAAAAUCACGUCCAUCUUUUUUCUGAUGAGAAGUAAUGGAAGCAAUCUUCACCUGAUGAAGUGUUCGACUUUGUUCUCCAUAUCCUCUUUCUUCAUUACUCUCUCCAUCAAGAUCAAGAUUGGGGCUUUUGGCUAAGAUGGAUCAACUUCUUCUGCACGUGUUCGGAUAAAGCAGACAAAGGUGGGGAGCAGAAGUGUAAAGAUCGCUUGUCUUGUUUUCUUGGAACUAUGCUGGUGGUACAAUUCGACUGGCAAAGUAGCAGUGGUACCACAAGGCAGAUAUACAUGGAAUUAUGUCACAUAUGAGAUAUAUGACAAUUCAAUCUAUUAUUAGUUUAGAGCUUGGCUAUCUGAGCCACUACCUCAGCCAUGUCCAGUGAGAUUGGACUUCGUGUUCUGAAGUGCCAUCCAUCAUCUGGUCCUAUCAGUAACUCAGAAGUCACCUUCUUCUGGUCAAACACUAAACUUCCACACAAUCAAACGAUGUUUGUUCUCUGAAAAAGGUAAUGCAGUCCUGCUUCUUCACAUUUCUUUUCAUUUAUGUUGUCAUUGCUGUUGUUAUGAGCUGAAAACAAUGGGUGAAAAGCUGGUUCAGAUCAAUCACCUUAGUGGGCACAUAGUUGUACUGGGAUCUAUAUUGACACAUGAAAUGAGUGUUUUCCUUCAGAAAAGAACAGUGGAAGUAAAUAAUGGAUGUCAAACUCUUGUUUCACAUGCCAAGAACUACACUCUGUCAAGAAUAAAUGCCAAGGUAGACAAACAAGUGUCAGAAGAAAAAAGAUAAGAACAUCUCUUCUUCUUGCUGCAAGAUGUCACGCAUAAGGUGGUCCAUCCACAGUAAAAUGGAAGGGGUUGAGAGUCUAAUGGGUCCUUUUCCUUCGUUACUUUCUGCUGUGCAAGAAAGAGAUAGGGGAGAGAUUGUUGUCUAAACUUCAAAAUGGAGUGGAAAAUGAUACAGCCAAAAAGAUGCCAUAUUAGUGUAGUAACAUGAGACUGUGAGAAGGAUCAUACAUCUAUAUAAACAUCACUUUGUUCCUAAUAAAAUUGCAGAGUUGGUGUUGCUUGCUUCUUUCAGAUGUCAUGUGAGUAGUUCAUAUGUGAGACAGCAACAAAGGUAGCAUCACAGAGAGGGAAUGACUGUUUUGAGAGAGAUAUGACUUGAGCAAGUACUCAUAACAGACAAAUGAAGUCUACAGAGAAUAGGCUGCAGAAAGUCUAAGCUUAAGCACAAGUGAGUUGCAUAUGACACUGACCAAGAAAUGUCAUUAAAGCAGGACUAUAAAACUUGCCCAAUCAGAGCAUCCAUAUUACUGUUCACAUGUAGUUGGUGGCAGAGGACAUGUGUGAUGGAAAGAGGUAGGCCUACCAGAUCUCUAGUAUCAUUUUCCAUUAUUAAGCUUUACUAGAUGAUGUUAUGAUUGCACAAGAUGUACACUCUUUGUGCCCAUAAAAAAGACAUGAAUUGCUGAAGUUUUGAAGCUUAAGACCAGAGUUCUUUCUUUUCUUUUAAUGAAGAACUGAUGCUUUGCUCAUGUAUAAUAAUGAGGGAUUAAGUGGAGGUUACAAACUAAGUUUAAAGUAUCACUGAUUGUUGAACUCUUAUGUGACACAAUAAAGUGCACUUCUAUUUCUAAGCUUCUUUUUAAUCUCCUCUGUUCUUGUCAUUUUCUUACAGACAUGCAUAAUCAAGUAGAUUCUUUUGGUUCCUGCUUCAACACUAGAUUAUACAGUAUUCCACAGAGAGAAGCAAUAAUUGAGCAAUAUUACCUUCUCCUUUGUUGGCACAAUCAUGCACAAAGGACAGAAUCUGAGACUGUAGAAUUAUAGUAUUGUACAUGAAAAGAUGGGUGAAAAAACAGUAGAUCUAUUUUCUCAAGUGGAGUGAUAGACCUAAUUGCAACAUCACCUUAACUCACAAAGAGAGAGAGAGAGAGAGAGAGAGAGAGAGAGUACCCUGAGCCAUGCAUCAAACAAAUGGCUAUUUGUACUAUGCAGCUAAAGCAAUUCAUGUGAAAUAUCAGAUAAGAAGGUGGCAGCCUCAGUAUUAAAGUAUCAAUAGUAGCAAGUUGCACAAGUAUAAUCCUUUGUUAAAAGCAAUUUAAGAGCCUUAGAAUAGGUGGGGGAUCCAACCCCCUUAUUUACUCUCCAAUACAUAUAAAGGUUUAUUGAAGGAGACUAAUCUACUUUAUCUCAAGACAAGGAGCAAGACUCUCUGUUGUCUGCCAUCAGUGGCUUCUCCAAACAAUGCAGAAGUUUGUGUCAAUACUCUCAGCAUCUAAAAGCUACAUAAAGUAAUUUUGUCAAAAACACAAAAAGAAAAGCUACAUAAAGUGAUGACCACAGUCCACAUCUACCUUCCCUGCAUCCAACACUUGAUGGGGCUGCUGCUUCCCUCAUAGGAUUCCCAUUGUCUACCCAUCCUAACUCCAUGGCUCUCUCUCUCUCUCUCUCUCUCUCUACUAUCCACACAUAAUAAUGCCUCUGUGGUCCAUGCAAACCUCUGCAGUGUCUCCAUAUAAAACAACCACAUGAAAUAGAAGAGGCCCUACAAAAACCUUACUCCUUUGAGAACCUGAACAGAUCUUCACUCAGAUAACUGUGUCAUCAGUACAGCACCUCGUGAAGAGACAGCAGGAAAACACCAGCAAGCAGUACAUUCUUCCCUCUCUCUUCUCUCUCGUUUACUUGUUCCAUGAGACCUUCUUCAUUAGUUCGGCAGAUCAAGCUGCUCAUGUCCUCCUUCCAACACAAGCAAGAUUCCUCUCUAGGCCUUCUUUCCCUAUAGGUGAGACUUGAACCAGCUUGAAGGCAGUCUACUCUCAGAACAGAAGGUUACAAAAAGCAUGCCAUUAAUUGGUCCCAUCAGCAGCUCUCUCUCUUCUUCGUCUCCUUGAGUUAGUCCAGGUAAAAUAUCUGAGGCUGUUCCACACAAUGGAGGUCCUGUUGAUGAACUGUGGAUCUUAUUUUAUAGCUUCCAACAGUCCAUUCCAAUCUCCUUAGUUUUCUACCCCUCUUCCCCUGUGCCAACACACCUCAGUCACAUGCAUUGCUCCCAGUUGAAGCCCCAGUAAUGUAUUGUCUUCCCUCUCCAUUUGCCUUCCUCUCUUAGCUUAUAGCUGAAGCUCUUCAGGCCAGAAUUUGCUGAAUCUUCCAACCCUCCUCUUGCUCUCUCGGUCACUGAGACAUGAUUUGCUCCGGAGCACGAGCAACAUGAGCUCCCAAAGUCGUAGGCUCCAGACCAAAUGGCAGAUCACUAGUUAUCUUCCUCUGCUCCUAUCUUUUCUUCUCCUGAUCAGUCCAGCGUUGGGCCUCAAUCAAGAUGGAGUGCUGCUGCUUAAGUUCAAGUACUCCAUCCUCAGCGACCCCCUCGCCGCGCUCGGCGACUGGAACUACUACGACGCCACGCCGUGCUCGUGGAAUGGAGUCGUGUGCAUGGGCUUCCCGGAUGCCGCUGCUCUCAACUGGACUGUUGCUACCGAUACUAGGAGUGAUGGUGGUGGCAAUACACAGGUUCCCACGUCUUCCAGAGUGAUCAGCUUGGUCCUGCCCAACUCCCAGCUCUUGGGCUCCGUCCCUCCCGAGCUCGGCCUCGUUGAACACCUCCGCCACCUCGACCUCUCCGGCAACAUUCUCAACGGCACCCUUCCUGCCUCCCUCUUCAACGCUUCCGAGGUCCGGGUGCUCUCGCUAGCCGACAAUGCCAUCUCCGGAGAACUUCCGGAGCUCGACUGGCGCAUGAGCAGCAGCCUGCAGGUGCUCAACCUCUCCGACAACGCUUUGAUCGGCAGGCUGCCGGGUAACCUUUCUCGCCUGCCAAAUCUCACCGUCGUCUCUCUUGCCAACAACUUCCUGUACGGCGAACUCCCCGGUGGUGGGUUCGAGAGGCUCCAGUACUUGGAUCUCAGCUCCAACCUCAUCAAUGGCUCCUUACCGUCUGAUCUGGGUGGACCGAGGGUCCGGUACUUGAACCUGUCCUACAACCGCCUCACCGGCGCGAUCCCGCCGCAGCUGGGGGCGAGUAUUUCUGCUAGUGCCACGGUGGAUCUCUCGUUCAACAAUCUCACCGGAGAGAUCCCGCAGGGUGGCGCUUUCGCCGCUGAGAAGCCGAUGGCGUUCAUGGGGAACCCAAGUCUCUGCGGGAGGCCGCUCAGGAACCCGUGCGCCAUCCCCUCUAUCCCGUCUUCCCUCUCCUACCCUCCUAAUUCCUCCACCCUGGCUCCGCAGGCGCCCAAGUCUCCCCCGGCCUUCGCGGCGAUACCCGAGAACAGGGACGAGACGUCGCCGACAGAUAGCGUGAAAAGCUCCGCAGGACGAGGGUCUCUCCGUCCGGCGGCUGUUAUCGGGAUCACGGUGGGUGAUUUGGCCGUCAUUGGGAUCCUUUUCAUUGUGUUCUUGUACGUAUACCAUGUGAAGAAGAAGAGGUCACAAGAGCAGCAGAAAGAAGUUGGGCUGAAGGAAGAUCCGCCACCACCCGUAGCAGCAGCAGCAACAGCCACAACAACAAUGGCAGCCCCUGAAUCCAAAGGAGUAGGCGGGUUCUCUUGUUGCUUGAGAAAGAAAGGCGCGGACGGAGGCGACACCGAGGAGACGUCGGAGACCUCGGAAUCCUCCGAGACGGAGGCAGAAGAGGAAGAAGCGACGAAGGGAACGAAGGAGGGCGAGGAUGGUAAAUCCCACCCGCAGCAGAAGGAACAGGGGGCUACUCUCGUCAUGGUUGACGGCGAGACCGAGCUGGAAAUGGAGACUCUGCUCAAAGCCUCGGCUUACAUUCUCGGCGCCAGCGCGUCCAGCAUCGUCUACAAGGCUGUCCUUGCUGACGGCACCGCGUUGGCCGUCCGCCGGAUAGGGGAGAGCGGUGUCAUCGACAAGUUGAAGGAUUUCGGCGCCCAGGUCCGCGUUAUUGCCAAAUUCCGCCACCCGAAUCUCCUCCGCCUCCGGGGGUUCUACUGGGGCACCGAGGAGAAGCUCCUUAUCCAUGACUAUGCCCCCAGUGGCAGCCUCGCCAACAUCUCUUUCAGCAGUAUGCGUCUCCCAUCCCCUGCUGUCCCCGUCAAGAGUCAACAGCUUCAGUACUAAGCAUUUCCCCAACUGUUUGCAGAGAAGCUCGGCUCGUCGCCGUUGCAUCUGAGCUGGGAGGCGCGACUCAGAAUAGCGAGAGGAGUGGCGAGGGGGCUCGCCUACAUCCAUGAAAAGAAGAGCUUGCAUGGCAAUCUCAAACCGAGCAACAUUUUGUUGGAUUCGGACAUGGAGCCAAAGAUCGGAGAUUUCGGCCUCGACAGGGUGAUGUUCGGCGUGGGCACGUCGGCCCGGCAAUUCGGGAGUAAGCGGUCGAUGCAAUCUUCCAUCAGUUUGCCGGAUCUAUCGGCGGCCACCGGAGCUAGCCCUUCCGUCGGUUCCUCCGCUUUAACAUUCGCCCCUCGGCCGUAUCAAGCACCGGAGUCCCUGAGGAACCUGAAACCCAACACCAAGUGGGACGUCUACUCAUUCGGGAUGGUGUUGCUGGAGCUGAUCGCCGGGAGAGUGUUCUCGGAGGUGGAGCUCUGUCACUGGAACGCAGGGUUUGUGGUGGAGGAAAGGAAUAGGCUUCUAAGGAUGGCCGACGCAGGCAUAAGAGGGGAGGUGGAAGGCAAGGAGGCGGCUCUGUUGAGCUGCUUCAAGCUGGGGUUCGCUUGCUGUGCCAUGGCGCCUCAGAGGAGGCCUUCCAUGAAGGACGCAGUCCAGGUGCUGGAGAACAUAUCUUCCAGCUCUUCUUCUUCGCUCCCAUAUCCAUAGCCUUCUCCUGUAGAAUCAGCAACGCCAUUAACAUUGAUUCGUUCGUCUUUGAUGCGUUCAAUCUUUAAGGGAUUAUUGUUGUUCUGGAAACGAUUAAGCCGUGCACACCGUACUGUUCGUAUGAAUUGGUAGCAGCAACGCGAAGGUAAGGUUCUUCCAUGGCCCCCGGAUUCAACCUUGGAAAGCUACUACCAACAAAUAAAGAGGAGGGCCACUCUCUUGCCACUCUGUGGCAGUACAGAUUCUUUGCUCUCUCCUCGUGCAUCCAUAAUUAAGCCUUCCCUAGAUCUCCCAUUUCGCCAGUGCCAUAACACAAAUGUGGAGGUGUGUAUGCUGUAAGCAUCUGUGACCAAAGAAGGAUGAGGCUGUAGGUAUUGAUCCUUAUGAACAGGCCAUAUAUGGUUACUGGGGACAAGAAUUCCAGUUGUGCAAACUGGAAUACGUACUUACUGGACUCGAGGAAGAGCAUCACCUCCGAAAUGGACUCGAGAAGAAGAAAAGAGUGGUGGAAGACUUCUCCCCAAACUUAUCGUAUAGCAGGAUAUUUUUGUGGUUGCAGUGUUUCAUUUGGUCAUUGCCUAGUUUCUGUGCGAGCAAAUUGUAGCAAGGAAUUUGUUGUACCAAUUUUCUGGAACAGAAUGUUUAAGCAAAUUUGCUGUUAUUUAUUAACUAUUCCGCCUAAAUUAAUUGUCCUUGAUAUGGCCUAUUUUAGGAUGAUAAAAGAUGAUGUAAAUGUAUGUGAAUUUAGGCUUGUUUCUCGCUUGCAGGUUAAAAAUGAUUGUUUGGAUAGUUUUAUUGGAUCAUUUUUGCAUCUUACAACUUCCAUAAUGAGCAGCGUAAAACGUCAAUCAUCUCAACAUCAUCGAACCUCCGAGAGGUAUAGAAUCGAAUGAGACUUUUGAGUAGGACGAUGAUGAAGAAAGGAGUCAAUUGACGUUUUUGUUAACCCGACGUGAUAUAAACCCGUAUGCACGGGAUUAUCCGAGGUGAAAAUAUCGAAAUCCCGAGAUGUCAUUUGUACGAAGAUCGAGGUUAAAAAAGAUUUCUUGAUUUGAUUCCUCCAAAGCCUAAGUUAGUAACUCGAGGUAUACAUGAGUGUGAACGUAAAUAACUAAAAAAGAUAAGCCAUCUUUUAUUAUGUUAAAAACGAACUUUUAUAUUUAAUUAUAAAUGGAUUAAAUAUUCCAUGAAAUAUUACAUAGGGAAACAACCUCUAACCAUUUCCAACAAACUUCCCUUGACCUCUUAUCCACGUGGGUGACAAAGGAAGGUGAUUGUGCGAUCAGGUGAUUAUCUAUAAUCAUUUGUCUUGAAUUCUUAGCCACGUGACUUUCGUCUUCUCCUUUUAUCCUUGAUAUCAUGUGACAAUUACGUAUCAAAUACCGAUUAGCUAACGGUAUACUCUCUAUUGGACGAUAUUGCUUCACUACAUGUCUAUAUGAAAAUAAUAUAGCUAGAAAUUUCAUCAAUUUAUCUUAUGUUUAUUGUCAUCAAAAAUCUUUUUAAACUGUAUCUGUCUAUGUGAUCUUAGUUCAAGUGAUACAAGAUGCAAGAUACGCGGCAUGUGCAUUCAUCACCACCAGCUACCCUAUCGAUCUUAGGAUGUAUCUUACCAACUUGAAAUGCUUAAGCUCAAAAUAAUAAUAAUAAUAAUAAUAAUAAUAAUAAUAAUAAUAAUAAUAAUAAUAAUAAUAAUAAUAAUAAUAAUAAUAAUCUCAUCGAGCCCUUUCGAUUCAUUCACGUGUUGUCACGGAAACCCCACGUCAGCCGACGUGAUUUCUUGACUAUGAUCCAAACCCAUACUAGUAGCUUGGGCCUAAACGGGCCGAAUCAGCUUGCGUUGGGCCCAAGGAUAUCUCGUGUCUGCGUAGUGCCACAAGGAAAUGGCGAGGAGUUGAUUCUACUGCAUUUCUCCGUCAGUUUGCAUGCGUUUGACAGGUUUCACCUCACCUAGUCCAGUGAUGAGAAACAAAAGCCGGACGAAGGGAAACAAUGAUCCCAUGCAAGCAAGCACGCAUGCAUCAUGGUGUUGCAUUUUGAACAGGCCAAACUAAUCAAACCUGUGGACGACUAACUUUCAUGUCAGGGUGGGUGACUGCCAUGUUUGAUGCUUCCUUCUCAUCUGACCGAAUGGUAUGGUUACUGGUGAUACGACAGAGAGUAGACCGAAGUGUGACUCGCGUCUUCUAUAUUAUCUAUCAGACAAAGAAUGAUAACAACAACCGAAUGCAAACAGCCAACAGGCGUUCCACUGUGGUGUACAAACCAAAGUCGACGGCGACAACUCUCCCACCACCGCCAGUAUUUCUUUUCUCUUCGUCGACGAUGGUGUUAUCUCUAUGCAUCGGAUGAGAGAGUACACAGCACGAAAUAUAUCUCUCGGGGGCAUGACUCCACCAGCUAGCCGUCCACCUGAUGAUUUUUUACCUAUCCAUUGUCUCACAUUGGUUGAGGAGUAUGAGAACCAAGACUAAUAAGUCCAUCAAGUCUUUCUUACCUUUAGAAGUAUUUUUUGAAGUUCACACGUUCCAAAAAGAGAAAAUCGUAAAGGUACAUCCAUCGUUCAAAGCGGACAAUUCCUCCAUCAUUCAAAACGAACAAUUCCUCAUGAGCAUACGGGCUGCACCAAUGAUCGACCGACCAAAUGAUCAAGUUAUAUAGGAAAAAAACUUUAAUUAAAAAUUAAAAGAGAAUUCUCAUAUAUUAUUAAUAACCAAAAAAUCAUAUUAGAAAAUGGAUGCAUAUUUCAUAGAUUAAUCAUCAUAAAUCAAAAAAAUCAAAAAUAAAUCAACAAAAAAAUUUCUCUAUAUGAGAUCAAUCAUAAAUCAACAAAUUUUCUAUAGAUUAAUCAUAAAUAAUCUUCAAGUUAACCCCAACCUAAGCGCCCAAUUCCCUUAGAUACCCUUUUAUAUUAAAUCAUCAAAAAUAAUUUCUUAUAUAUUUUCUCUCGUCCUCUUUAUAUCCAUUAUAAAAAAAACACACAACACCCAAAUUAUUUUAUCAUAUUUUGCUUUCACAUUAAAAUCUAAAGAUAUAUCAGGUAUUUAUAGUAAUAAAAUCUAAUCACUAAUGAUUUAUUUUUCUACUUAAAUUCCUAAUCAUAAUCCAUUAAGUAAUUUGAAUCGCUUAGCAUCCAAAAAUACUACGCCACCCAAAUAAACACUGGUUAAGAAUAGAAUUGCAGUGCAUCACCGACGACACAGACAGAGUUGAUGUGAUGGACGUACUCGGGUGACGAAUAAGCAGUCAAUUGGACCAAAUACUUUGGAUGGACAAGCUCGGAUUUGGAUUCUCCUUCGGUGGCGCAAUAAUAAUCGAGUGCAGGAGAUUGUACCAAUCGAUUCAGGAUGCAGUGUUGCAUUCGAUGGUGAUGAUAUCACUGUUGGGGGCUGUCAGAAUUAAUGUGUGGUGGGCAAGGGAGCAGAAUGAAUUGGACGUGUCAACAAUCUGCUGUGGCAUUGACUCGGUGGCGACGAAGAAGGUGUUGGCCUGCCGACAUUCCAUAGCAUUCGAGGACAUGCUUGAUCGUAGAUGCUACCUACCUAUUGUGCAUCCAUGGCUGCAAUGUGCUGGGAGUUGAAUGUAGUCCACGUCUCCAAUGUAUUGUACUCGAUCUCAUGUUUGUGAAGUGUGGGAGUUGAUGUGCUCGACGAAGGACGACGUGGAGACUCACCUGUUGCCAUGUUCAUCAUUGUCAGCAAUAUCAAGCACAUAACUUCUCUCUCUCUCUCUCUCUAAAGAACGGGAUAUACCAGACAUAGGAAGCCAAGUUAAUGAUGGUUUGAACGCAUUUCACCCAUUCAGGCUGGACGACAAGAGUCGGUGAAAGGUCCAGAGUUCAAGUGAUUUCGUGAACACCUCUGAGAUUGCACAGUUCCUCUAUUCUUCUACAGGACCUCCUACCAUCUCUAUUCCCACGUUUGACGCUCGUUCAUUAAGCAGCAUUAACUUUCCAUUGUGUGGUGUGGCAGCAGAUUCAGGUCCUCAUAUCUAUCCUCCAUUUGAUGUGAGGAUGCUGUACCGUUGUUGGGAUUUCUGAUGUGCUGUGGGACUCCCUUAAUCAUUGUACCGAGACAAUGUGCAUCUGAGUCAGUAAACAUUGAACUCGGCACUUCAUCUCACCAACACAGCAGAUGGCAUGUUCGGUCGGCACCACACAAUGUGGACGCCUCUCGGUCCGCCAUUUCUUCAAACAAUUCAUCUGUACGACAUCCACAAAUACUCGAAGAAAUCAUUGAGUGGCCAUUCCGGUACAAGAGCUGAAAGAAGAAGAAAGCCUGGCGACAACGUUUACCGAUGCAGCUUACCGAGAUAUGGAUCGUAGAUCACAGCUCCCUCUUCUUCCUUCAAGACCACAGAGCCCAUCAAACGAAGAACAGUGCAUGUGGUCUAAAGGAGAGCAUCAUAGACGAUAUCCGCAGCCACCGUGUCAUGCUUAUCCUCUAGCCAGAGACCAAAUGGUCCAUGGAGUCCACCACCACCACCACCACCAUUACCUUUCCCUUCCUUUCUUGCUCAAAAGCUUAGACCAAAAUCUUCCUCUUUUGGAGCUGCAAUCAGAUCACGUAAUUUUUAGGUCUUCAUCAUAUAUGCGAUUCCGCCUUCUCAUACCUUCAAAAACAGAACAAACAACUCAGUUCGACCGAACCAAUCUUGUCAUGUAGCGGUGAGGGGUCAACCAUACAUCCAACCUCGACUUACAUAUGAUACUUUUUAUAAUCGUCAUGUAUUUUAUCUUAUUCAACACAAUAUACUGCACCUCAUCUACAGGUGCAUCUUAUUUCGUGCCUUGAAGCGAAGGUCUCAUCGGAACUAUGGUCCUGGUGUCGGACGCAAGGCAACGAGCUGUCACCGGGUCCCGCCACUACUUCCCGUACGUCGGUCGGACACGUGGGGGUUUGACCGAUGGUUGCUCUGUGGGGGCCCGCGGGGAAGGGGAGCACGGACAAGUACACGAAGCCCUCCCUCCCAUAUUCUCCACGUGACGGGCAUCAUGAGGUUUUUGUGAGCCUACCAGGAUAGAAACGUAACACGGUUAAAUUGGAUGUCCGUUCGAUCGAGAUUUCAACCCACAAGGAGAAAAAUUAGGAUACUAAUGAAUGGCUACAGAAGCAAAAGUCGAACGGGAAGUGACGGUUGUUACAUGAGAAAAGUCAAAGGCAAACAGUGAGCACUCUGCAGCUGCGAACGGAAAAGAAACCUGCGAACGGAGAAGCAUAUAAUAUACAAAUCGAUAAUUGCCAUAAAAAAUAGGGAGGGAAGCGGACGCAUGUGGGCCCGUGGGAAGGAGAGUCAAACAACAGCUGGAAGUGUGGGCCGAGCCAACAGCUGUAAGGAGUGCACACGACGUACGAGUCACAAAAAAGGCCAAAAUCACGGGAUAGCUGUUGCGCAUUUACUUACCUAUUCUGAAACUAUCUCAAUUUUUACACGUAGGGUGUUCCUUGGAAAUCAUGCAUGUAAGAUAGGAACGAGGAAGACGCGAGGAAGCCGAAGAGGUGAUCGGAUCGUGGAGCGAAGGGGGGGAAGAGGCGGCAUCCGACAAGGUGACAGCCUGGCGUUUAUGGACUUUAUGCAGCAUCUUCCGUCCAUAUCAUGAAAACAUUGUACCAACAUAACAAAUAACAACAAUGUCGAGUAUUAUGAUCAUUUAUGGAGCACCAGAACUUGUGGUGGAUGGAGAUAUGCAUUAAACUCCAACAUUAGCGGACUAUUACACUGAUAAUUUCAUGCACGGAAAGGGCCCCAGCGCGUCGUUCGUGGAUGAUGUUCGACGCGAUGGGUCGUGGACUGGAUGGCGCAAGCGUGGGGUACGAUUUUGAUUUGACGGCAAGCGGGCCCCGCAUUGACUCGUCAUCCUCUCCUCUAAGGAGCAGGCGGGGCGGGUAAGUUGGUGGCGUGGGUCGAUGUGUGAAGAGGACAGGAGUGAGAGGGCACAGAAAGCGUGCAAUGAGAUGGCGACGCGUGUACAGCGCCAGCUGUAUGCGAUUGCGAGCGGAACCGGAAGAGGGCGGGAGCGCCCUCCGUUACGUCGGUCGCCGCCGACCCAGGUGGCUCUGCCUCUCUAUAAAACCCCUCCGAAGCACUUCAUCUUCUCCUUCGUAUUGCUGCUUCCUCUUCCCUCUCCUAGUCUCUCUGUCUCUUGAAAGUGAGGUUGUUUACCUUCUAUUGUUCUCUUUUCUUUAGGUUGGGGGAGUUUGGGUCCCUUGGUGGCGGCGAUGGGAAGCAGGAAGGAUGUGGAUAGGAUCACGGGGCCGUGGAGCCAAGAGGAGGAUGAGGCGCUGCAGAGUCUGGUGCAGCGCCACGGACCUAGGAACUGGUCGCUCAUCAGCAAGUCCAUCCCGGGUCGCUCCGGAAAGUCAUGCCGGCUGCGGUGGUGCAACCAACUCUCGCCACAGGUGGAGCACCGCCACUUCACGGCGGAGGAGGACGAGAUCAUCGUCCGCGCCCACCGCCGCUUCGGCAACAAGUGGGCUACCAUCGCCCGCCUCCUCUCCGGCCGCACCGACAACGCCAUCAAAAACCACUGGAACUCCACCCUCAAGCGCAAGUAUAGCACCGCUUGCCCCGUCGACAACGAGCUGCGGCACCGGUACGACGCGAUCACGACGGAAAAGGAGGCGGCGGCGCAUCGGGAGGACGAGGCGGUGGCGACGAGGCCACUGAAGAGAGCAAGCAGCGACGGCCUCACCCUGUUGUCCGGCGGAGCGGGUCUUUGCUUGAGCCCCGGAAGCCCGUCUAGAUCCGAUCUCAGUGAUUCCAGUCACCACAGUCACUCGCUAAUCUCUCCGCCGGCGGCGGCGUCACACAUCCAUCAGCCGUUUCCCAGAACUGGCGGUGUCGUGACUCUCUCCUUUUCUCCGAGCCAACACCACCAUCAUGGCGGACCGAUCACUGCUGCUGCUGAUCCUACUUCUCUAAAGAACGACGACGGUCCAACGACCUUCCUGACCCUCUCCCUCCCCGGCUCAGAUCAGAUUCACACCUCCAGCCACCGCCACGUCCUGGCCGGCCCCAACACCAACAACCAGAACCAGCUCCAACCACUGCCGUCCUCCGCUCAUGCCCCCCAUCGGAUGAUGCAGCGAUGUUCAGCCACCGCCGCCAGCCCUUCUGGCCGCGCCCGGAUUCCGAACGCCGAUGAUGAGCGUCGGUCUGCACCUUUCUCAUUCAGCGGCGAGUUCAUGGCAGUCAUGCAAGAGAUGAUCCGCAGCGAGGUGCGGAGCUACAUGGUCGAACUGGAGCAGGGCCGCAUGGUGUGCGGCACGCAGCCGCCGCCCUGCAACGCCGCGGCGAAGCGCGUCGGAGUAACGGAUGCAGAGUAGAGUACGUUUUGAAUCCAGAUCAUGAAGGAAUGAAGGAAUCAAAGAAUGUCUUGGACCAAGAAGAAGACAACGGUGUCUCCUUUUCCUCUCUGGUAGUCGCUCUCAAUAGUAAUGGGUUGGAUGCUUCAAUGAGAGAAGGAAAUUGUACAGGAAAACGGGAAAGAAGUGGGAAGAAGAGCGAGCACUUCGUUUCAAUCUCCUCCUCCUCCUCUGUUCUAUUCCAUGUAAUGAUUGUGAAGAUGGAGGAGGUUUUUUCUUGGUUUACCAGUGAUUAUUUGGUUCCAUCGAAUCGUACAGUAAGAAACGACGGGUCGGAAAGAUGAGCAGAAGAGCAGCGCAAUAUCAAUUUCGUUUGUCUUGCAUUGAACUGUCUGUUGAAAUGCGGGGAGUAUUACGGCGAGCGACGGCUAAAACGAUCCAUUUAUGUUACGUGCCGCCUUAUUUUACUGGUAUUAUUAUUUAGUCACCAUCACCAAUUAGUGCGGUUGGGAGUGCUGCACUUCAAUGUUUCCGUUUCCGUGGCAGCUCAUCUCUGAAGCGACGGCAUUGAUUUCUGCAUUGUGAUCGAGCCCUGAUACCUUACUGUGCUCUGUUGUUGCACUUGCUUCUUCUCGGACACAACUCAGAUAUUUAGAAUCGACUAUAUUAAGUUAAAAUAAAAUAUUUAAUUUUUUAUUUAUAAUUUUUAUUAAAAUAUUCUUAGGUUUUUAUCUAUGCCUCUUAAUGUUACUAAUAGUAAUCCUCAUGUCUUCUAAAUAUGUCUAUAUUUCUUAUUUUAUCUUUUAUUAAAGUGAUAUUUAAUUAUUCAUAAAUAAUUUUUUUCUUAUUUUAAGUAACUUUACUUAUUUAUUUUAAUAUUCUCAUCUUAAUAACACAAACUCUUUAUAUAUGUUUCUAUCUACUUAAAUUCAUAAAAUAUUAUUAAUAUCUUUAUCAAUCUUUCCAUUUAUAAUUGAUUCGAGAUAACUAAAGAUUUUACUUUAUGAAAGUUGCUAUCCAUCCAACGUAAUCAUUUUUUUAAUCUAUUUAUGAUAUUUUAAAAUUUUUAGAAUCCAAUUAAAUAAAAUUAUUUUCACAAAUAAGCUUUUAGUUUAUUUAUUUUGAUUUUAAAAUUUUUUAUCUUACUAAUUAAUAGAGUAAGUGAAAAAAAUAUUAGAUUAUGUGAUUCUAAUUAUUUGAGAUAUAUUAUAGAUACGAUUGAAUUAGUUAUUGAUUAAUAAAAAAAAUAUAAUUAUGAUAGAAUUCGACUUGGAUUAGAGUGACUCUUCUAAUUACUAUAACAUUAUUGAGAUAUUAUAGAUCUCUCGUUAUUGAAGUGAAUCAUUUACUGAGAUAUUAUGGAUCUUCUCUCAUCUCCCAUUUAUCGUUCAUAACAAUCAUGUGAAAGAUAGGAAGAUAGGAAGAGGACAAAUCAACGUCACUAUAACUAUUAAAUCCAACAACAAUAUAAAUCAGAUAAAAACUUUUAAACAGCAUCAAGAUGUAAUAUUAAAUAUAUUAUUAUUUAAUUAUAUUUGUUUAUAUUAAAUUUUUAUUUAAUAAUAUGUUAUAAUUUUUAUGCGUACAAGCUUCGCGUUCCCAGGACAAUUCCACCGCUAACCGAGAAUGAUGGAUACUUUAGUCGAUGGGUUGUGGCUACCAUACUAAACUACAGCCAUCAACCCUUACAUGCUUUUUUGUGUUCCUAAGUUGUCAUAUUCUUCUCGCUACCAGUAAUCACCGCACGAACAUUUCCCUUUUCUAAAAGAAUGAAAUCGUCUGGAAUCUCUUAGGAUGAUCUCCAUGCCUUCAACCUCAGACGCAAACUUCAUCCACCUAUGACAAUCCUCACAUACUCGCAGAUUCUUGAUCACCCGAAUUACUCCUCCUUUCCUCUUUCCUGUGUGUAGUAAUGCAAACGAUACUGCUAAUCUCUCACUAUGAUAUCUUAGGACUGCUUCCUUUUGAGCUUCAUCAACAUCAUGGAGAACGUAGUCUGUCAUGGGAACAUACCCAAUGUCUCUACACUUCUCAUCCAACUCCUCGAGCUUCUCAUAGAUUUCCUUUCGGUUUUCGUGGAAACCAUCGGCGGCCACAAAGACAUGCUUCCUAUUUCCGAUCUCUACCCAGCUGCAUCCAGCUUCCUUCUUCAAUCCUUUCUCCCUCAUCAACCUCCUUACCUCUAAAGCAUCCUUCCACAAGCCAAAGGCAGCAUAGAUGUUGGAAAGAAGAACAUGAGUAGUCUCAUCGUCAGGGUCGACUUCCAAGAUCCUUCUUCCAACGCGAAUGCCAAGUUCAAGCUGCUUGCGUGCAUGGCAUGCCCCGAGCAGUACUUUCCACAGCCACAAGCAAGAGACACCUUCGAGGCCCAGGUGAGAAGUUGCGAUCUCUAUCGUAGCCUCAGCUUUCUCAAACUGGCCCGAUCGACCAAACAAAUCCACCAGGCAAGCAUAGUGCUCAAUGCUUGGCUCAGCGUCACUCUCCUUGCUCAUCAAAUUGAAAUAGUGCGCACCUUCCUCUACCAGACCUGCAUGAGCACAAGCACUAAGCAAACCCAGAAAAGUAACUGCGUUCGGCCGAAUUCCAUCUGCUUUCAUUGCCUCAAAGGAUUCAAGUGACCGAUAGGCCAUCCCAUGAUGUGCAAAUCCUGUAAUCAUUGCCGUCCAUGAGAACACAUCCCUCUUUGGCAUCCUCCCAAACAAUUGAGCUGCAUCGUCUAUGCUACCACACUUGGAAUACAUGGACACAAGUGCAUUGUUGACCGACAAGGAAAAGGUCGGAGGAGAGGAAGCAUGGAGGCAUUGCUUUACAGCGGACGCAUGCAACUGCUUUCCCAGUUCGACGGAGACCAAUCUGCUGCAAACCGUAAGAAUGAUCGAAAAGGUCGAAUGAUCUGGCUGGAAGCCUUGCGUGUGCAUCUCUACAAAGAGCAUCAUCGCAACACGACAGCGCUCAUUGGUCGAACACCCAUCGAUCAUCGAGUUCCAAGUGUGGGAGUCGCGCUCGCUCAUCCCCUUGAAGACCUUCUCUGCAUCUCCAACCCUAUCACACUUGAAGUACAUGGUUAUGAUGCCAUUAUAAACGGAAACGGGCAGUGAUUUGACUGCUGCUCUUCUCACUAAAUAGCCAUGAAUCUCUCUUCCCAACCUACAAGAAGAAGACGAUACCGAUCCUGGCGACAUCGCACAGAGAAGAAUGGUCAUAGUGUGGAAAUCAGGUCUGGAUCCUGAUAGCUGCAUCGCUUUGAAUAGCUCGUAGCAGCUACCGAGCUGGCUGUUCUGAGCAUAACCAGAGAGCAUGGAGUUCCAGCUGAUAACAUCACGGGAAGGCAACAUCUCAAAAGUCAACCUCCCCGUCUCCACCUCGCCGCACUUCCCAUACAUGGUGAUCAAUGAAUUGCCUGUGCUCGUCUCCCCAUCAAGAUUUGAUCUAAUUAGCCGUGCAUGGACCUCCUUCCCCAACUUCAAGCCCGAGAUUGUGGCUAUAGCACUCAGCGCGCUGAGAAAAGUAAUUCUAUUUGGCUGCACAACCGGUGGAGCUUUCAGUCCUGCCAGCCUACGGAGAAAUGCCAAUGCAUUCUCGCAUUCACCAUGUUGUUCGAGGCCGGAGAUGAUAGCAUUCCAAGAAACCACGUCCCUGGCAGCCAUCGCCUCGAACACUUUCUGCGCCUCCUCCAAAUGACCCCAUUUCGCGUACAUGCUGAUGAGCGAGUUAUGCAUCUUGAUCUCAUCAAGCAUUUGGUCUUUCUGGAUCAUCGCAUGGAUCGCCUUGCCGAUGCGAACUUUUUUGCUCGCCGAGCAUGCGCUGAUGACGAUCGCGUACGUCGCAUCGGUUGGCGUCAACUGCGCUGCGCCGAGCAUGGCACCGAACAAAAGGAAGCACUCAUCGUAGUAGCCAUGAAAGGCGUAGGCGGAGAUAACGGAGUUCCACGUCGGGACGUCGGCCUCCUCGGCCAAGGGAACUUCGUCGAACACGUGGCGGGCUUCCCCCAAGAGGCCAUUGGCGGAGUACAUCGCCACGAGGGAAGUGCGCACGCCUCGCUCCGAAGCGAGGCCGGCGCGGAUGGACUUGGCAUGGAGCUGCUCGCCGAGGCAGCAGUCGGAGAGGUUGGAGCUGGCUUUGAGGAGGCUGCCCAGCGCAAACUCGUCGGGGGUCCAUCCGGACGCCAAGAGUUCCCGGAAGAGUUGGAAAGAUUGGGAGAACUCCCCACGCAUGGUUUUAUGAAGGAUGAGGGAGGAGGAGGAGGAGGAGGGAAUUGAGUGAUCACGUCGAGCAUUUCGUGGAAGAGCGGAGGAAGUGUGAGCUCGUGGAGAUGGGGCUGGUAAGAGGAGCGGUUGGACGGGAGCAGACGACACGGUGGUCAUCUAGGCUGUGGCUGAGGAGGGUGUGGGUUGAGCAGCGGCGGUCGGUUCAUAGCGAUAAGUAGACCCACGUCUUCCUCAAUUGGGUAAGAAUCAAAUUACAGAUAACCCAUAACCUAACAACUUCAAAUUUUGAAUUAAAUUAGUAUGAUAUAAGUUAAUUUUGACUUAUUUGACUAAGACUUAUUAUUACUAUACUUCUAACAUCUAACCUAACCCACAGACCCCGUUGGGUCAAUCCACAGCUCAGUCUAUUAUUUUGUGGUUCUGAUCACAGUCCGAUUUAAAUAUACAUCAUCAGUUUCCGUUUAGUUCUGAUUUAUGAUUUUGAGUAAUCAGAUCUGAUUGUUGAUUUUAUUUGACUCUGACUCUGUCACGUUAGUGUUAACUAUUGCCAUGUCAGCACAUACUUGUGUCAACUCAGCAUGACUACUGACAACAGAUUGCAUGGCAAUCUACCAAUCUGGUUUAUGACCAACUACGUCAGCAAUAGAUUGUGUCAAGUCAGCUAUGUCUCUUGACACAACAUACUGCAUGGUCAAUUGCUGAUUGAACCCGAACCACACCCCUAGAUUGAGCUCAAUCAUUACUUGCGGUCACGCCCGACCACAUCCUGAUUGAGUCCAAUCUUUGCACCCAAUUUUGAUUGGGGAGGUCCAAUCCUGCAUAAGCCCAAGUAGUGGGCUGGUUAUGCGGUCCAACCCAUAGGUUGGCACUGUGGGUGAUUAGUGACCUGAUCCCAGAACAGGCUCAUGAACAGUAAUUAAUUAGAAUAUAGGUAAUUAAUAAAUACGUAAAUACUUUAGAAUAACGUAUAAAGUUAAAAAAAUACAUAAAAAUAUCCCAAAGAUACAGAUAAUACAAAUAAUUGCAACCAUUAUCAUAUUCUAUCCCCGUUGACUUCGAUGAUGAUGACUCUCAUCUUAUAUGUUAUAUGUUAUAUAACACAUAAUUUGUUAUGAUUUGAUUACGUUGAUGGGUGUGUGACACUGAGUAGAGAGAUAUUUAUUAUCUUGCUUAGAGCAGCAGACUAGUAUUAGUAGAGCGAUUCUCUAAGUGUUUAUAGUACUUAAGGAAUUAAUAGAUCGUUAGACGUGGAAGUCAUUCAGUCUCUCGCUAGCGCAAAGAGAGACAUGUUGCCUGAGGCACCAAUUCAUCGACUAUCGAGAGUCUAAUAUGAUUUCUUUCUAUCGGUUGAACUAAGAGAUUUGAAUAUUACAUUUGUUGAUGAUGAUAUAUGCAUGGUAUUAUUAUAUUUAUAUAUAUUAUUCUUGUGUGGACUGUACAUUACAUUCUACAUUCUUUAAUCAUCAUUCUACAGGUUUUUUUUAUGCUUAUGACAAAAAAAUUGCUCUCCUUCAAGUUCUAAAUAGUCAAAUGACCUCUUUUCAGUCAUGUAAUAAUGCGACGGUACCCAAAAAUCCAAAAAUAAAUCGAAUUAAUUUUGCCAAAUCCAUCAAGUUUGACCAUAUCACCUGUGUAGGAACAUGUUAUGGCUUUUAGAGGAUGGCCAAUGAGGCAUCGAGCCUCCCCCCUCGGCAUGUGGCCCUGUGCAAAAGCAAUCCACUCCAAAAAGACCCUUCUUUCUGUUGUGCUCUCCACGCCAAAGACCACACAUUGGCAAUAGAUUAUUAUCAAUCCGUGUAAAUCUCUCUCGUGCAUGCCUACCAGGUGCAAUGUUCCCCCACUCGGGUAACAGCGAACUGCUCCUUUUGCACGGACUCCAUUUGUUUUAGCUCUCGUUCCAAGGUAGAGGAAGCGGCGAGAGAGAGUUUAGUGGACUACGGAAGCAGGAGCGCAGGAUGUGUGUUCCCAAAGAGAAGGUUAAGGAAACAAGUGCGAAGCCUUGUUUGAUCUCAUUCUUUAUGUUUCAUUGCUGCAAUUAACACUUCUAUCAGCCAACCACCAGCUGAGACGCUGGCGUCAAAGUGGUUCUACCCAUGACACCGGCAAUGGAGGCAACCCCCGUCUUUGGGUUGCUCCUCUUUUCAUUGUUUGACCAUUGCUUCUUGUUUUCUCUUUAGUUCAAAUCCUCUGAAUACUUUUUUGUUUUUUUAAUGUGAUCUCUCUUCUUUAUGAAUUAUUGGAUUUUUAGACCUAUCGCCCUUAAAACCUCGUCUGCUCGGGUGAAGACAAAGCAAGACAUCCCCAUCUACUACUGGACUCUGAUCUGCCGGUAUUCAAUCAAGCAAGCAUGCAAUGGCGGAACACGAAUCUUUGGACUAGUGUGGCAAUUACAUUGCUCGCAACACACACAGCAUAUGAAUCGAUGAAUUAGAAAUCUCAAAGCUUUCCAAUGGAGAAGGCGCGCAGGAUCAGUAUGGCCUGCUGCACUUCAGAUACACGAUUGAUUUCUAAUGGCCCAGCACGACCAGUUCCUGAUCGAAUCCAUGGAACACUUCGGGGUCGUCCUCGCCCACGUGAUGCUGCUCGUUGAGGGCCGCCGCGUUCGCAUGGAAGUCGGUGCUCUUGAUGGUCAUCCCAUCCGCUCCCAAUGCGACGACGUCACCCGCGACGACGUCGGUUUUCAUCAACAGCAUGCACGCGAGCAUCGCGAGGAUUACUGUCGCGCGAAGGGAGGCCAUGGCAUGCGUCGCCGUCGGUCGAGCCGGUGCGCAAGACGAAGAAACAAAGGCCAGCGGACGGACGGACGGAGGAAGGGAUGGAAGGAGGAAGGGGAGCGAAGGAAGCUAUGUAAAGGGAAGGAAGCCAUCAUUUGCG
rnacentral:lncRNA from 1 species